rnacentral:rRNA from 2 species
GCCAAAGACCAUACCUAGCUGAAUACAUCGGUUCUCGUUCGAUCACCGAAAUUAGGCAACGUCGGGCGCAUUCAGUAUUUAUAUAGAUGGUGGACCACUUGGUCACAUCGUGUGUUGUUGGUA